UGAUGAAUUGCAGUUUGGAACACUUCUGCAUGGGCUUCAUAGUUUGAGACCGGACGUUGCCGCUUGAUUAAAACCUAGCCUGUGGAGGGCAGCAUUAUACUCCCCAGUGUACAGCCUGCCGGAAUAUCAGAAGAAGAAGAAGAAGGAGAAGAAGAAGAAGAAGAAGAAGAAGAAGAAGAAGAAGAAGAAGAAGAAGAAGAAGAAGAAGAAGAAGAAGAAGGAUACAUUGGUCCCCUCUCUGUCUGGAGGAUCCUCCACAUAGACCAGGACCUCACCACUGCCAGCCUCCAGAGUCUCCACAGUAAACACAGCUGGUCUCAGCACCUUGUUGCCAUGUGGUUCAAUACCUGGAGUCACAAAGUGGCACAACAACAAAAUGGUGUUUAAGGGCUACCCACCAGGUCCGUAGGCUUUGGCCUUGUCUGGGAAAAGCUGUUUGGACUUGAGAGGAGCUCCAGGCUUCAGCUUUGCCUUGGGGAACUGGGACAGGUUCAGGGACCGUGGAGGUGUUGUGACUCAGCAGUCAGUGACAUGGCAGUGACACCAGAUGCCAGCACCAUCCCUGAUGAAGUGGUGGGAGGGCCACCGUAGAAGAGGCUCCUGUGAGGAAUGAUAAGCCAGCAGGGAGACACUUCUCACCAGGCCGACUGCUGGGGAUUUCAUGAAUGGGACUUCAUGAUACCUUAAACCCCGAGAUUGUGAUUGCCAGCGAAGGCUCCUGCCGAGAAAAGAAAGCGCUCAGACAUCAUGCGGUCUUCUCCAGCUCUGCCUUGCAGCGCUGCAGCUCCUCCUCCAGCUCGGCUCUCUCCUUCUGGCUGCUGUCAUAAAGUACCUGCAGCUCCUGCAGCUCCAUCUUCAGACCGUCACACUUGAGGACACACAGUUUCACAAAGGCAUCAUACCUCUCUUUGAACCUGUGAGGCCUUCUCCUCCGCCUGCUUCAGCUGGUCCCUCAGGGAGAAGACCUCUCCGAUGCCUCCGUUCCAGCCGGUUGGUGUCAUAGGCUUCCCGUCGAAUGAAAUAUUUUUCUGGAUGGAGGCGUCCACCAGGCGACAGUUCUCAGACUGGGCCAUGGUCAUGUAGCUCUCUGUCAUGACCUCAUCGGAGCCGGUCUCUGUCUCCUUCCCCUCUGUGCUUUCCCCUACAUCCUCCUCCUCCUUCAGUGACAGGUACACACUGGAGCUGGAAGAGAGGAGUAACAGUGGAGAAUAUAACGCAUUCGAUUGCCACUUCUGUGAUCUAAGGCUAGACAUGGUUUAUAGCUAUCUUAUAUCCUAACAAGUGAGCUUGUAUUUCUUUGCUUUGUGUAAGAUACAGUUUGCAGAGAUUCCCUCAUGGCCAGAAAAAAUAACCUAUAAGUGAUGGAAUGAUUUUCUUUUCUGUGUAUUGUUUUGUCUAUAAAAUUUUGGAAAAGCCUGACAAACUUUUUUUUCUGAACCAAAGUUCAAAAUCCAAA